AUUUGAACAAAAAAAAAAAUGGCACUCUGAUUAAACUGCAUUACAGCCUGCAGGACACCUUGGGCCAGCUUGAAGGCAAUGCUUGUGGAAUGUACAGUGCAUAUUGGCGGCGCACGCCUCAUUACGAUUCGCCUGCUUGCUUCUCCUGUUCAAUCGCUCUCACUUUCUUUGGAAGGCAGUGGAUUUUUCUCUUGCGUCUCUGUCUUCUUCAGUUUCGACUUAUCGAAUUUCUCGAUCUCAGCCAUA
rnacentral:lncRNA from 1 species